ACGGAGGGGGCGAGCGUUAUUCGGAAUUAUUGGGCGUAAAGGGCGCGUAGGCGGCCCGGUAAGUCAAAGGUGAAAUCCCUCGGCUCAACUGAGGAACUGCCUUUGAAACUGUCGGGCUUGAGGCCGGGAGGGGGUAGCGGAAUUCCCAGUGUAGCGGUGAAAUGCGUAGAGAUGUGGAGGAACACCAGUGGCGAAGGCGGCUUUUUGGUCUGUAACUGACGCUGAGGCGCGAAAGCGUGGGGAGCAAACAGGA
rnacentral:rRNA from 1 species